CAGGCAUGAACCCACGAUGGACUUGCUCCAGCAGCAGACAGGGGUAUAUGCAGGAGCAAGCCAAGUUCUGGCCAGGUUUUGCCCAAGUGAAGCAGAGACGACAAAUCUGAAGAAUGGAGCUGGACAAGGGAGCGUCAGAUGCUGCCGGGGCAGGACAAGGAUACGAGGAUAAUGAGGACUGCACCAGGCGACUGGCUCAAGUCUACAGAUCCUCCAGAGGAGCCUUCUUCCACCUGCUGCAAACUCCCUGAGAGUCUGCCGACCUACACCUGCCAGCCCAUCAGAUACCAGACUUCGACUCACCUGACAUAAAACUUGAGAACCGUGAGCUUUAAUAAUAUGGUAUAGUAUACCUAUAUAUGCAUAUAUAUAUGGCUUUUUAUUGCCCUUCUCCUCUUCUUUGUACUUUUAGUAUGGCUCUACAAAUGUCACCACAACACAGCUCACAUACCAGGCCAAUCCUAUUUCUGCUCAUGCUGGGAACCUUAAUAAUCGUGUUUUUCACACCCCCCACCACAGGCGUUACACAAAAUCCCUAUUUGCCUACAGUCCAGGAGGCCCUAAAACUUCUCGAAACUGUGGACCCUUCCUGGUCCUGCUUCUAAAACCAGCUGUUUUCAACCUCCUUUCCCUUCAUAACCCAGACGAACUCUCAGCUCGGGCAGGGGAAUCUAGACCUCCAUGUCCAGCAGGAAGCAACUACAGAAGAUGAGACCUCCGCCCAUAUUCCCCAGAUUUUGAGUU